ACGUGCUUGCUCUGUCCACUCACAACUGCUGUUGCCAUGGGCGGGGCUGGAGGACCAACAAUGCUAGCAAUGGCUGGAGAGAACCUGAAAAAGUUAAUCGUCUGUUGCUCACACUCCCUGCCAUGUUUUCAGCAUGUGCCCGUCUGUUUGCUAUGAGUCAGCAGGAGGAAUUUCCACUCACAUCAGAGAGAACUGCAUGCACAGAUCUGGACUGUUCCCACUGGCCUGCCACCCAGCAGAGCGGAAGAAGCUUAAGUGAAAUUUUAAAAAGGUGAAGCACCAUCCAAUUUGUUAAUGUCACCAGGCCCCCGGUGCACAGUCCCCACCAAUCUGCUGCAGGGUGUUGGACUUAAGAAUGUCUAGAGGAAAAUGCAAUUAAAUGAAUGUAUUGCUCGAUAUGGUGAUGUGGAUGAAGUAAAGGGAGUAUUUCUUCACUGUAACUAAGAUAUGGAGCCACAUUUUGCAACAACGAUAACAAUGACAAUAACAACAAUGGCGGCGAUGAUGUUAGUUUGUGAACCCUUUGGAGAAAGGGAACAAUUUUAUUCUUUUUUUCUAUGUAAACUGCUUUGAAAUGUUUUAUAUAAAUAUUCCAGUAAUAGUAAUAAUAGUGGUAGUGUUAGUGUUAGUGUUAGUAGUAAUUUUAGUUUGUGAAUCCUUUGGAGACAGGGAACCAUCUUAUUAUUUUCUUUAUGCAAAACACUUUGAAAAAUGGUAUAUAUUCAUAACAGUAACAAUAACAGCUGUAGCAAAAAUGAUAGCAACAACAACAACAAUUUUGAAGAGAUUUCCAAGAAAGCCAAUGUAGCACUGUGGCUAGAACUAGACAUAGAACACAGGCAUAUAUUGUGGCCAGGUGGGUGUUUACCAACCCCUCCCCUACAUGUUUGCAGUGCCAAACAUGUGAGGAAAAAGAGAUUGAUCAAAGUAUGGGCCACCAUAUUUUGGCUUGGUGGAUCACAAGCUCUCUGAAUCUGAUUUCAAAGGAAAUUGAUGUUUGCAUUUAUGCGCGUCAGUCAUGGUUAACCUCCAUAGUGGGCAAUAUCCUGGAAAGCAAAUGGCCGUAAAACCCUGCUGUGAAUCCUGCAGUGAAUUGUUUGUUUUUGUUAUUACUGAGAUCCAAAACACAGAAUUUUUCCUGAAGAGUGAAUGUUAUUAUCAUUUAUAAUUGCUGUGAAACAAAAGCAAUCAGUUCCUCUCAGCAAAUGGAGUCAGGUGCAUAACCAAAUAGAAACGGAGAGAACUUUGAAAGAUAUGGAAAAGGAAAGUAUGUAUAUAUCUAUAUAUUUGUUACCAAAUGGCCCAUGAAGCACGGGUGAUUUUUACUGGGUCAAAGAACGUGGCAGGGCUGUACCACCCCAGGUGAACAAUUAGCUCACCCACUUAAGAAACCCAUUUGGCACCCUGGUCCGGUCCAUGUCCAGUUUGGACUCAAAACGAACCAGGCAAACCAGUUUUGUUCACAUCCCUAGUGGUGAGACAGAGCUGCAGAUCAUGACUUCCUCACUUUGAAUGCCAUUUCUGCCAUAGACUCUCUAGGUGGCCUUGGGCAAGCCACUCCCUCUCUGCCUCAGCUCUCCAGCUGCAAUUUGAGGAUAAUAAUAUUUGCCUACCUUAUUGAGUUGAUGUAAGGAGAAUUACAACAAGAUUAGAAUAUGUAAAAAUAAACCAUGGCUCUGCAUGAUGUCUGACCCUGCCCAGAGAAGGCUGGUCCAACUCACCUUCUCCCCCAAGGAUUCUUGGAAUGUUGCUGGGAGCACGGACUGUGCUUCCAGAUGAUCUGUGCUGCCUGGUGCAGCACAGGGCUCUGGUGACCAGGACGAUGCUCCCUGGCCACAAUGCAUCACGCGGCAUGCACACAGUGCAUUGGGGGAACCUCCCAGGAGACAGACACUCUAGGCGCCUGUCUCUGUGUCUGCUGGGGCUGAAUACAGCCCCUGUGAACACACAAUCUCAGAGCCUGGGCUAAGGGUUCGCUCGAGCUUUUAACCCUGGCUAUGAACUGGAUUGAAAAACUGGGUUGUGCAGUGCUGCCCCGCCGGGAUUAAACCUGAUCCCAGCAGUUCUCACAUGAAGCCUAACCCAGGUUGGGCUUCUCUAGCCUGGGUUAGGGUGCACAUGAGAACAGUCUCAUUGCCUACUUAGUUUACUAAGUUUAAGUGACUAGCUUGGUAUAUUUUAGAUUUCCAAGUGAUAGUUUUUAAAAUAUAUGAUUCAUAUUAAAGGCAUCACUAUAUAUCUGUGGAAUUUUGGUUCUAUCUAUCUAUCUAUCUAUCUAUCUAUCUAUCUAUCUAUCUAUCUAUCUAUCUAUCAUUGGAUUCUAGAUUGUUGUCCUUCUCGAAUCCAAGUACAUUAGUUUGUGUAUUCUUGAUCUUAUGGUCCAUUCACACUUGCAAAUAUCUACUUGAUACAGAUUUUAUCAAUUGAUACAUGUGUGAACUAGCUUUAUCUUACUGGUCACACACUCAAUUUGGUCUUUUACACUGAUCAAGAUGGUGUUCCAUGGGUGGGGACUCCUGUUAUUUCCCCAUUGUCAUGGAUGGACCACCAUCUGCUUAAGGUUGGACUUGCAACCAUAACCCACCUCUGUCAGGAUGAAGGACUCACUAGGUUGUUCCACCCAAGAAAGUUAUUGGAUCCAAUAGGAUUCCAAGAAGCCUUGGAAGAAUUUCGAGUGGGUUUUGCUGAUGAUUCUGUCAAUGCUUUGAUGCAAACUUGGAAUAAACAAACUCACUAGGGCAGUAUGCACAAUCACUCCUAAGCUCCUCUUGAACUGCUUCAAAAUUAGCCCAAUGGUAUUCAGAAGAAUUACAGGAGCUGAAGCAGCAAGAUAUAUGAUUAGAGAUCAAAUGGAGAAAGGCUCAACUCGAAUCCAACAGGUUAAAACCUAGAGCAUAUCUGAACAUCUAUGCACUGGCAAUAUGUGCAGCAACAAAGCAAUUCUUCCCUGCCAGCAUUGCAUCCACAAGUUCAUGUCCAGUGGAGUUGUUUAGGGUUGUGAGAGGGCUAAUACCAGCCCUCUCCCCCUUGAAUCCAAAUGUAGAACCAUUGGUUACCCACUGUGACACUUUUAAUGAUUUUUUUCAUGGACAAAAUCUCUCACAUUCAGGCUGAACUGGAUUCUACAAUUAGGACAGAGUACGUUAUGGAGGUAUUCAGCAACUCCUCUUAUGUGGUCAGACUGGAUCACUUUCACUUUGUGACACCUGAGGAUGUGGACAAGCUGUUUCAGACUGUGGAUCCUAUCACUUGCUCUCUUGAUCCUUGCCCAACUUGGAUUAUUUUAACAAUCAAAUUGUAGCAGAGGGUCUGGUAAACGUCUUAAAUGUUUCUCUGAGGUAGGGUAGGAUGCCUCCUUGUCUUAAGGAGGCUAUCAUUAGACCAUACUUGAAAAAACCUACAUUGGACCCCUCAGAGUUAGGCAACGAUAGGCCUGUCUCUAAUCUCCCAUGGUUGGCAAGGUGAUUGAGAGGGUGAUGGCCUCUCAGCUCCAGAAAUCCUGGAGGAAACUGAUUAUCUAGGCCCAUUUCAAACUGGCUUUCAGGUGGGCUAUGGAGUUGAGACUGCCUUGGUCAGCCUGAUGGAGUAUCUCCAGUUAGGUAUUGACAGAGGGAGUUUGGCUUUGCUGAUCCUUUUGGAUCUCUUGGCAGCUUUCAAUACGAUUGACCAUGGUAUCCUUCGGGGUCACCUGAGGGAGGUGGGGUUAGGUGGCACGGUUCUACAGUAGUUCCAUUCCUACCUCUCAGGUAGAUUCCAGAUAGUUUCACUUGGAGACUGUUGCUCUGCAAAGUGAGAGUUCUGUAUGGAGUUCCACAAGGCUCCAUACUGUCUCAGAUACUCUUUAGCAUUGUCAAGAUGAGACUCUUUCACGCAAGAGGUGCCGCUGCCAGGAAUAAAUUAUCCCAAUCAAUGCCUCUUUAAUGCGAAACCAACACCCACUGGUAGAACAGGGGUAUAGUUUGGACAAAUGAUAGGUCAGCCCUUUUUCUCUUCUGUACACCGUGUUUAUUGUCUAACAAAAUCUAAUAUAAGCAAUAUAAUACAGAGGUUUAUUAUAGAAAGGCUCUUCUUAGUCGAGAGAAACAAUAACACAAAGGCUUGCUUCAAAAGAAUAAUUUGCCAUAAUAAAAAGGUUUGCAACAAAAUAAAUACAUAGAUGAAAACAAAUCAUCUUUAAAAAUGAACUUUCAAAAGCCCAUUAAGGCUGGAAUAAAACCUCUCUCUUUCUCCUAGCCCCCCAAAGUUAACUUUAGCUAUUGAGCCCUUUCUUACGAGGGCAGGCACACGUCGUCCCGGCACCCAGAAAUCCCAUAAUGCACUACAUGAGUGCAUGGUAGAGAUCUCAGCAGCAACAGGAGGGUGCCUGUCACUGCUACAGCGCUGGCUAAAAGCAGCCAGCGCAGCAGACGAUUGAUGAAAUGGGGCGAAGGGAGCAUUUGCUCCCUUCACCUAGUUUAGGAGGCUGACUCCGCAGGUGGGUUUGCCGCUGAAGCAUCGUUGGGAUCAGGCAUGAUCUCGCCGGUUCUUACGAGCAGCCAAGAUUGGGCUUGUCUUCCUUAGCCCAGUCUUGGCUGCACAUGAGAAAAGCCUCAUUGUAUACAAAAGGUGCCACUGUAGUGCUUCCUGGUUUUUCAUAAAACAUUCUUUUAAAUGAUAUAAUGAGGCUAUUCUCACGACUAGCGAAGAUCGGGCUAAGAGAGCCUAGCCCGAUUUUCACUGGUUGUGUAAACGACCAAGCUUGCAGGCGAGCCCGGUGGUUUACAAGCGGGCAACCCGCUGAACUGCCUCUGCCCUUCAACCAGGUUUGUGGAGUGAGCGCUCCGCAAACCUGGUGUUUAAAAUCGUGUUUUGCUGCCACUGCCAUGGCAUCUCACGAGUAGACCCCCAACUAAGAGGCUAAAAAGCAGCCUCCUGGUUCGGGGGUCUCUCCAGCAUGCCCUGCGCACUCAUGUAGGGCAUGCUGGAACUUCCAGGGACUGCACAGCCCCCACAUUCCCAAGCCCCCGCCGGCUCCGUGACGGAGCUGGACGUCAUGUGGGCAGCCGCUGCGGUUGCCCAGGGAGGGCUUACUGAUCGUCUGCAGGGAGAGCGGGCUUAGCCCACUCUCCCUGCAAACCCGAUUUGGUUCUUCUCACUUGAUCAUGAGAAGAGCCCCCAUAUGAUUCAAAGCUGUUGCUUCUUAGUCUCCAAAAAAGAAACUGCCUCCAUCUUAAAAAUUCUUUAAAAGUAUUCUUAAAAAUCAGUUCUUGCAGCCAUGGGACUGAAACAGCCUGUGCCCAUCUGACUGCCUGUUCAGCCCAUGAAGCCUUCUGUGUGUGCCCUGGAGCCCAAUGCUUAUUUAUUAUUUAUUACAUUUCUACAAUGCCCACUCCAAUGGCUCUGAAAAUUUACAAACUAAAAACAACAUAUAAUCAUUCAAAAAUCAAAUGUAGAACCAUUAAAUCUGAACAAUUAAAACAGUUUAAAACAGUUAAAACAAUAGCAAAUUAUACAGGAGCUUUUCACUCCUAACAGCCCCUUCUAAUUGAAAACAAUCUGUGUGGUUUAUGUUAUUAAGUCCUUGAAAUGUUGCUUUAAGUGGAGACAGAAAUAAUGUUUUGGUUAAUUGUGUUCUUUGUUUGCAUUAGGGUCAGACUGGCCUCUUAUCUAUGUAAGGCUAGGCAUAGCUAUAACCUUGAUAUGUGUACAGAGAAACUGCUGUUCAGAAAGCAGUAGGCAGAGAGGUUAUUUUCCAUUCAUAUGCUCACAGGUUAUUUCCCAGCUUCCAAGCACAAAAAUGGCUCCUCUCAUGUCAAGCAGGAAGGCCAGAUUGCAGUUAUCCAUAACAACAUCUACAUGAAACCGCUGGGAGAGAUCAUCUGGAGAUUUGGUGCAAGGUGUUAUCAAUAUGCUGAUGACACCCAAAUCUUGUUCUCCCUUUAAGAUCAUCUGAGGAGGUCUGGUUACGGUUGCUGCCGGCUCAUCUAGUGGCAAAUUAGGGCUGGGCCUUCUCUGUGGCUGCCCCAGGGCCUUGGAUUGCACUCCCUGUCAAAAUAUGAGCUUCUGUCUCUAUUUGCUUUUUAAAAGGCUCUUAAGGUACAACUAUUUUCUCAGGCUUUUAAUUAAAAGUAAUUUUAAACUGCUUAAUUGUUUUUAUCCUGUGAAAUAGUUUUGUUUCACUCUGCAAAUUGUUUUUAAUUGUUUUUAUUCUGUGAAAAUGUUUUGUUUUCUUUUUAUAUUGUUAUUUGAAUUGUGUACACCGCUUAGAGGCGCCUAUAUAUCAGGUGGUAUAUAAAUAUGAUAGAUAGAUAAAUAAAUCAUACAUAAAUCUUCA